rnacentral:rRNA from 1 species
ACUCCUACGGGAGGCAGCAGUGGGGAAUUUUCCGCAAUGGGCGAAAGCCUGACGGAGCAAUCUCGCGUGAGGGAUGACGGCCUAUGGGUUGUAAACCUCUUUUUUCAGGGAGGAACAAAAUGACGUGUACCUGAAGAAUAAGCAUCGGCUAACUCCGUGCCAGCAGCCGCGGUAAUG